GAUGAACGCUGGCGGCGUGCCUAAUACAUGCAAGUCGAGCGAACGGACGAGAAGCUUGCUUUUCUGAUGUUAGCGGCGGACGGGUGAGUAACACGUGGAUAACCUACCUAUAAGACUGGGAUAACUUCGGGAAACCGGAGCUAAUACCGGAUAAUAUUUUGAACCGCAUGGUUCAAAAGUGAAGGACGGUCUUGCUGUCACUUAUAGAUGGAUCCGCGCUGCAUUAGCUAGUUGGUAAGGUAACGGCUUACCAAGGCAACGAUGCAUAGCCGACCUGAGAGGGUGAUCGGCCACACUGGAACUGAGACACGGUCCAGACUCCUACGGGAGGCAGCAGUAGGGAAUCUUCCGCAAGGGGCGAAAGCCUGACGGAGCAACGCCGCGUGAGUGAUGAAGGUCUUCGGAUCGUAAAACUCUGUUAUUAGGGAAGAACAUAUGUGUAAGUAACUGUGCACAUCUUGACGGUACCUAAUCAGAAAGCCACGGCUAACUACGUG
rnacentral:rRNA from 1 species